rnacentral:sRNA from 1 species
UGGAAAGUGCAGGAGAUGAAAGGUUUCUCUGUUCUCCUAAUCGCUCUGCAAGCUUCUUCCCCAGCCCUGACAAUGUGCCUCAGCCCUGAGUAAGAGGGACCACCUCUGGGGACGAGGAAACAGUUCAAUCAACAGCCUAUUUAUUCUUCAACGUCU